UUCUUCUUGUUGUUGCUUUAGUAUACGCUCUUCAAGAUCUUGCUCUGUGAAGCUUCCUGGCGUUUUUCUCUUUUUAAGAACUUCAAACCGCUCCUGCACCUGUUCAAGAGAUGCCCGUUCUACCCGCAUGGACAUACCCAAGGCUCUCUGAUGUUUCUUUCCAUUGAUAUGAUCCAAGUAAUUUGCGGAAUCCUUGACUACACAUUCACAAACAGAACAGUAGUAUCCAGCCUGAAAAAGA
rnacentral:misc_RNA from 1 species